UUGCAUGAGUAGGGCUACUCUCCGUACAAGAUCAAACUGCUAUUCAGUUACUAUUUGAGUCGUGGUUGACGCAUUGCGGGCAGCGAUACAUAGUACUGUUUGAUUGCGUGAUUGUGUCGCGGCUGUGGAUCUCCACGAUACUUCAUGUAUGAAUCGGCGUAACAGGCCUUGAAUUUGCCUUUGCGUUUGCAAUGUUUCUCCACUUGCAAAGCUACUUGAUCACCAAUAUAAAAAGAUAUGGUGUAAUACAUUUUCUUGUCAUAACCUCCUUUUUGCCACAGCUGUACUUUAGCUCGAGUGUUUUCUUUUUUUUGAUAUAAGAGGGUAUCAUCCCAAGCAAGGUAUUGGGGAAGGUGAGACCUAAUUUGCUUCUUCAUUGGAAUGCUCACGUUGGCUGGUAUUGAGCCAGUCAAGCAACUUGCUAGUGGAGCCUCAUACAUCUCGUUCUCCAUGAUGUACUGCGAGUUGUGGAUAAAGCAGCUGACUGUGUGAAGUAUCUCCUGAAGAGAAAACCGAGCAUAAUGUGAUUGAGAGAGUAACGAUUGAGAUACGGGUUGAUUGUGCUAGUUCUUAUAAAAAUAAGAGAGUAAAUUUUGAUUUGAGUGGACAAGAAGUCCAUUGCAAUGUGCUGCUGAGGUACUACGGUGAUGCGUGAGUUACAAAGAGGAGAUUGAUUUAGAUCUGAA